GACAGAGGCCUCAAGCGUUAGGCGGAAUCACUGGGCUUAAAGCGUGUGUAGGCGGAUCGUUAAGUGUCUUGUGGAAAUCCCACGGCUCACCCGUGGAACUGCUGGGCAUACUGGCGAUCUUGGGCCAACUAGGGGCAACUGGAACAAGCGGUGGAGCGGUGAAAUGCGUAGAUAUCGCUUGGAACGCCGAAGGUGAAAACAGGUUGCUGGGGUUGUGCCGACGCUGAGACACGAAAGCCAGGGGAGCAAACGGGG
rnacentral:rRNA from 1 species